CGUAGGUGGCAAGCGUUGUCCGGAUUUAUUGGGUUUAAAGGGUGCGUAGGCGGUCUUAUAAGUCAGUGCUGAAAUAUCCCGGCUUAACCGGGAGGGUGGCAUUGAUACUGUAGGACUUGAGUAAAGUUGAGGUUGGCGGAAUUGACGGUGUAGCGGUGAAAUGCUUAGAUAUCGUCAAGAACACCUAUAGUGAGGACAGCUAACUAAGCUUUAACUGACGCUGAGGCACGAAAGUGUGGGGAUCAAACAGGAUUAGAUACCCUGGUAGUCCACACUGUAAACGUUGAAGACUCGCUGUUGGCGAUACACAGUCAGCGGCUGAGAGAAAUCGUUAAGUCUUCCACCUGGGGAGUACGCCGGCAACGGUG
rnacentral:rRNA from 1 species